rnacentral:tRNA from 1 species
CCACUGGCAGGUCAGUGGUAGAAUUCUCGCCUUCCAUGUGAGAGACCCAGGUUUGAUUCCUGGCCAAUGAC